CUAACUUAGACCCAUUAUCUGGGUUGAGGACAGUGCCUGGUGGGUAGUUUGACUGGGGCGGUCUCCUCCCAAAGAGUAACGGAGGAGCACGAAGGUGGGCUAAUCACGGUUGGACAUCGUGAGGUUAGUGCAAUGGCAUAAGCCCGCUUAACUGCGAGAAUGACGGUUCGAGCAGGUGCGAAAGCAGGUCAUAGUGAUCCGGUGGUUCUGUAUGGAAGGGCCAUCGCUCAACGGAUAAAAGGUACUCCGGGGAUAACAGGCUGAUACCGCCCAAGAGUUCAUAUCGACGGCGGUGUUUGGCACCUCGAUGUCGGCUCAUCACAUCCUGGGGCUGAAGUCGGUCCCAAGGGUAUGGCUGUUCGCCAUUUAAAGUGGUACGCGAGCUGGGUUUAGAACGUCGUGAGACAGUUCGGUCCCUAUCUGCCGUGGGCGUUGGAAGAUUGAAGGGGGCUGCUCCUAGUACGAGAGGACCGGAGUGGACGAACCUCUGGUGUUCGGGUUGUGUCGCCAGACGCAUUGCCCGGUAGCUAAGU
rnacentral:rRNA from 1 species